GGAGAUAGCUCAGUUGGUAGAGUGCUUGCCUUGCAUGCAAAAGGCCCUGGGCUCAAUCCCUAGCACCA
rnacentral:tRNA from 1 species